ACACAUUUGCGAGCUUUUUCAUGAUUGAGUAUUAUUCAAUAAUUGAAUUCAAAUCCUUUUUUGGAGUUUUGUGGCAGUUUCAAAACUAGGCCUUAAAUAACGUUUACAGUAACUCACUUCGUCUUUCCUAUAGGUUACACCUUGACCUGAUUUAUUAGGAGGUCUUGUUGGGGACACGGCUUUUUGACUUAUUCUUGAAACGGCGGUAUAUAGACUUUUAAGGAAAGUGAGAUUUAGCGAGGAUUGUCGAUUAUGAAGCAAGUUCCUCUGAUUAGGACUAAUGCCGCCAAACUACAUUGGUUUUUCUUGGGGAUACUACCUAAUGAGAGAGAGA
rnacentral:rRNA from 1 species